GAAAAUCUCAACUAAGUAUUGCAGUUCAAUCAAGCAGAGCUAGAUAAAACUCAUAAAAGAAAUUGCAGCUCUAACUUCUGUGAGCAUGCGUGACCACACCCAAUUUUAGAGCACACGUUCCUUUUCAUUAACAAAACAGCGGAAUGAAGUAAGCUGGGCUUGGGGUAAUAGAGAGACGGCAACUUUUUUUUUAUUGUUAGAGUUAUUGGAAAAGUGGUGGACCUACACAUGGACAGUUGAUGUAGGAUAGUGUAAAAGUUAGCCUUGUAGCAUUGAUCAAAGAUCAUGAUACCCCUUCUUAACUAAUUGACAGGAGAUGUUGAUGAUGACUUAAGGUUGGUUCACAGUAUUAUGCUAGUCCUGACGUUACGUUGAUGCUGGAAUCGAAUCUGGUUCGAUUCCAGUGGAAUGCAUGCGUCAAAAGGUCAAAUUGCCCACACUUUGAUUAAAAAUUGAUGGUAUGUUAGCCUAGCGUCAUAUUGUGAACCAGUCUUAAGAUGAGAAAAAUAGCAGAACAAAACAGCCGAUUUGCCAAUUUUUGAUUUUAUUUUGAGACAAGGUUGAGAGCCACGCUAGUGGUACCAAUAAAUUUUCUUGUCAAGAUAAGGUUCUCUAAGAAGUCUGCUAAGCAUAGAAGGUCGUUUUCCUGGUACAGUAAGGCCGCAAAAGUCGUGGCAGCCAUUUUGUUUUGGGGUGAAUCCUACUUUGUAACGCUGCUGUGUUACUGAUAUUAUCUGGUGCUUGUCUGGCAAAAUUCAGUCCACCCAAGAAAGCCACUGUUAUCAAGGUUACAUUAAAAACGCCAUUGCCACGACUGAAUUGUCUUCAUCUAAUUCUCUGAUAGCGAGACAGUUAUGCAAAUAAAAAAACGUCUGGCCCUCUCUCUCUUUUGAAAUAAUGUGCAUGGAUUUUCAGGUGAAUUCAGCUGCCAACUUCAGUACUGCUGAAAAAAAUCAAAAUUGAAAGUACUUUAUUGCUUAAUUUUGUUGAUGUCAGUAAGCAAGUUUAUUAAAAUCACUUAAUUUAUUACUGAG